rnacentral:lncRNA from 1 species
AAAAAAAAACGGUAUAGCUAAGGCUAGCCCGGAACUCCCAGUGGUCCUGCUGCCUCUGCCUCCCGAUCACCGGCGCUACAGGCAGAUGCCACUAACCCAGGCCUGGUUCCUCGCCCGUGGACUUGCAUUUCCUCUUCUGAAGAAGCUGGGGGCUGGGCUGGCGCCCAGUUUCCACGGUUUUAUAUUAAGGUUUCCUGAGGAAAGCAAGGGAGGAAAGCAAAAGAAUGCCAUCUGAGAGCACGGAGCACGCGCCAGCUUAACAGCGACUCAAACAACAUCCUGCUUUUGUCAAUGUCCUGCCAUCUACAGCUGUGUGACAUUAGGCAAAUUACCUAACCUUUCUGAGUCUCCAGUUGUCAGGCCGCUGCUUUGCCUGUACAAGCAGCCGUGAGGCUGAAACUUGCUUCUGCAUGCAGUGGUUGCUUUCACACACACCGCUGAGCAGAGCUGGAUGAGGUGGCUUUGGUCUGUGUGACAAAUGCCAAGCAAGCCAUCCACAGGAGGAAUAGAAAUUUAACUUGGCUCUGUGUGCUGCAGGCUUUAUUUAGUCUGGGGUUCAGUCCGUGGUCAGCUGUUUGUGCUGAGUCAAAGGUCUCUAAGGGAGGAUGGGGGAGAAGGAAAUUUCUUAGUUUUUGUUGACCAUUGCAGCAGCAAGGGUCACAAGAGGACAGGUUUUCAGGGGCGCAUCUUUAAUUCCAGCAUUUGAGAGAUAGAGGCAGAUCGCUGUGAAUUCAAGGCCAGUCUGGUCUACUUAGAGAGUCUCAGGACAGCCAGGGUCACAGAGAGAGAGACCCUGUCUAAGAGAAAGAGGGCUGACAGCCCCUGAGACCAGGCUCAGCAGUUACUUCUCUAAUUAGGCUUCACCUCCAGCCUUUAUCAUCUCCUAAGGGUACAGAACUACCAGCCUGCAAUGUCAACAUUCCAAAAACUGAAGCUGGAGGAUUGCUUAGAGUUCAACACAAAGAGCAUCAGACCAGCCUAGUCUAUAGAGUAAUCCAUGUCUCAAAAUUGAAUUUAUUAUUAAAAUGAAGUGAAAGCCACAAGUUACAGGCAGUUGAGAAAAUUCAGUUAUACAACCAUUCGUUAAGCAAAGCCACUUGGUGAGCCGGGAGUGUUCACUCAUGCCUGUAAUCUCAGUCCUCGAAAGAUCACGAGUUUGAGGCCACUGUGGGUUACCCAAUUACCAGGCUAGUACCAGGCAACCGUGAUCGCAUAGCAACACCCUGAGUCAAAAUACAAACAACCAGGGCCGGAGAGAUGGCUCGGCUGAUAAGAGCACAUUCAAAACCUUGAGGACCAGAUUUCAAAUCCCAUCACCCAUCUAACAAACCAGCAGAGAACCUGCCCAAAUCUGAAGCUGCACCAUUGAGAGGGUGGAGACAGGAGGAUUGCUGGGAUUUGUUCACUUCCCAGCCUAGCUGAGAUAACAAAAGGUCCUGCCUGGUUCGGAGAGAGACCCCGCCUCAAAGGAAUAGGACUGAAAAGGAAAAAGAUGCCCUGGAACCCUCCUCUGGCAUCUACUCGCACGUGUGCGUGCGCACGCACACACACUUAAAAAUCUUAAAUUCAAACAGCAGCUCAGAGAAUACAGAACAGAGACACAUCUCCAAAGUCUUCUCUAGAGCUUUUAGAACUAUAGAAUGAAUCCAAGAAAGCCAGGGUGGGGCUGUAACUCGGUUGGUAGGGUAUUUACAUAGCAUCCACAAAGCCCAGAAGUCAAUCCUCAACACCAAAUAAUCUGGGGAUGGCGGCCCAUGAAUAUAAGUCUAGGACUCAGAAGUCGGAGGCAGGAGGCCAAUCUGGGCUAAAGAGCAUGCCUCAAACAGG